GUCGGUAUCGAUUAGGGGUUAAAUCACUUCGUUGUGGUUAAUAGAGCCAAUCCGAAGAGCCGCUGGUUCGAUUCCAGCUACCGACA